UACGGAGGGUGCAAGCAUUAAUCGGAUUUACUGGGCGUAAAGAGCGCGUAGGCGGGUUCUUAAGUGAGAGGUGAAAGGUUCAGGGCUCAACCCGAACAGUGCCUUUCAUACUGGGAGCCUUGAGUGUGGGAGAGGCGAGUGGAAUUUCUGGUGUAGCGGUGAAAUGCGUAGAUAUCAGAAGGAACACCCAUGGCGAAGGCAGCUCGCUGGCCUACAACUGACGCUGAGGCGCGAAAGCGUGGGGAGCAAACAGG
rnacentral:rRNA from 1 species